UACGGGGGGUGCAAGCGUUGUCCGGAAUCAUUGGGUGUAAAGCGUUCGUAGGCGGCACGUCAAGUUUGGUUUCAAAGCCCGGGGCUCAACUCCGGUUCGGCAUUGGAUACUGGCGAGCUAGAAUGCGGUAGAGGUGAUGGGAAUUCCUGGUGUAGCGGUGAAAUGCGUAGAUAUCAGGAGGAACACCGGUGGCGAAAGCGCAUCACUGGGCCGUUAUUGACGCUAAGGAACGAAAGCCGGGGGGGCAAAU
rnacentral:rRNA from 1 species